rnacentral:rRNA from 1 species
UGGGGAAUUUUGGACAAUGGGGGCAACCCUGAUCCAGCCAUGCCGCGUGCAGGAUGAAGGCCUUCGGGUUGUAAACUGCUUUUGUACGGAACGAAAAGACUCUGGUUAAUACCUGGGGUCCAUGACGGUACCGUAAGAAUAAGCACCGGCUAACUACGUGCCAGCAGCCGCGGUAAUACGUAGGGUGCAAGCGUUAAUCGGAAUUACUGGGCGUAAAGCGUGCGCAGGCGGUGAUGUAAGACAGAGGUGAAAUCCCCGGGCUCAACCUGGGAACUGCCUUUGUGACUGCAUCGCUGGAGUACGGCAGAGGGGGAUGGAAUUCCGCGUGUAGCAGUGAAAUGCGUAGAUAUGCGGAGGAACACCGAUGGCGAAGGCAAUCCCCUGGGCCUGUACUGACGCUCAUGCACGAAAGCGUGGGGAGCAAACAGG